UACAGAGACUGCAAGCGUUAUUCGGAUUCACUGGGCGUAAAGGGUGCGCAGGCGGUUGUGUGUGUCAGGUGUGAAAGCCCGGGGCUUAACCCCGGAAUUGCGCCUGAAACUACAUGACUAGAGCAUUGGAGAGGGUAGCGGAAUUCACGGUGUAGCAGUGAAAUGCGUAGAUAUCGUGAGGAACACCGAUGGCGAAGGCAGGUCUCUGGGCUGUAACUGACGCUGAGGAGCGAAAGCAUGGGGAGCGAACAGG
rnacentral:rRNA from 1 species